GGCUGCCUCCUUGCUUUGCGCUGUAUUCUGUGACAUCCACAUGCAACAUCCCAUUCCUCACAAGAGCACUGUGAGCUGUCAGAAUCAGUACCCCUGGAUUUCGCCUGAUGGAGCCUAUAGACCCCAUGGUCUUCUCUCCCAGUCUUGGUGGAGGUGGCUGCAGUAGAGUGGACAUCACUGAGCAGAGAGUGGGAGCCAGGGGCUGUCUGAGCACUUCCUGUCUUCUCUCUGCAUCUUCUUGAGGCUGGUACCUAUCUGCAUUUCACUCAUGAGGAAACCAAGAAAAAGAGACAAUAGGUUACUAAGCUGAACCAUGUGGUACUCCUGUUUUUGCAGGUCAAAAAAAGGUCUAAUACCAGCAAGUUCAUAUGAUUCAACUUAAUAGCUGCCCAGUUAGCAGGUUGUGAUUCCAGUGUUUGAACUCUUCCCAACCCCAAAAUGAUGGCUGCCUGUCUCUAUUUCAGAUGGCAGCAGGGCUCAGAGCAGAUGUGUUCACAAAUAAAUAAAUAGUGCUAUCAGUAGACUACUUCCUUUCUUCUCUGUCUGUGGUUUCAACUACUGGCUUUAUUCACGUCAGUGUGAAAGUUGGCUGGAGCCAGACAAGACUGCCCUGCCUUGUGGCUAUAGUUCUUGCUGUGAAGCUAAAACCAGCCCAUCGAAUCAGCUCUGUUGGGCUGGCUGCCUCCAAAGCUGCCUGCCUAAAGAAUAUCUUCUUCUCGAGAUGGCCAGAGGCACAUACCCCAUCUCCCCAGCUCAACUCCCACCAUUAGCACCACUCAGCCGGUGACCACUUGCCUUCCUCCUAGAGCCAUCAUUAAAUGCUGCUUAACCUCCCCUGUUAACACACCAGUGAUUAAUUUAUCAUUGGAUUACAUGAACUCAGGGCUUGGAUCAGGUGAAUUUUGUUUGGGAGCUGAUGGGUAAAGACAGGCGCCUGAGGGUGAAUCAUGGACUAUUAGCUGCACCAGUAAUGUUAGAAGCUGUAUUGGCCAAUCCCAGCAUUUCGUGGAAACUGAGAUGCAGGUGCCAAAGCUUUGGUAUCUUGAUAGUAGAAUGACCAGUCGCUCAGCUUGCCUGGCACUGAGUGGUUUCCUGGGGUGUGGGACUUUCAGUGUUUAAACUGGGAAAGUACCAGACAAACCAGGAUGAUUUGGCUACCCUACUCAAUUGGGAGCCCCAAAUUCUUCUGCUUCUCUGGGCGAGUCAAAUUUGUGCAGGGCUUUGUAGUGAGGGCCCCAUAACUUCUUGGGACACCUCAAAAACCCCAGGUGGGGAAGCAGCAAACAUACACUUACACAGCACAAUUUAACCACGGUUGGCUCCCCUGAAAGGUCAGUCUCCAGGCAUGAACCUGGAUGCCGCAUGGAAGCAACCAUGUGAGGCAAGGUUGUGCCUGCCUCGUGACUGAACUCUUAGCUUCUGCAUUUUGGAAAGCUGGUUGGAUUGAGUCAAUCUCAGAAAAUAAGGCUAUGGUCUGGUUUAUUCAUUCGAUAGAGAGGGCCACUUCAUAGAGAGGGUCCGCCUUAGCCAUGCGGUUCAGAGAGCCUGCAAGGAGAGGGCCGCUGAGUUUUGUGUCUCCUCCAUGUGGCCACGUGGAGGAGGGAAAGGAGAAGUGCUCAGGCAGGCAGAAGGGUCAGCAGGGUGCCCCGUGCUACCAUCACUUCCUUCUUCAGAAGUUUUGUCACCCAGAGGUUUUGAAUCCUGCAAUAGGCAGAUAUUCUUGGCUAAUUUUGGACUUUUUCCUUAAAUGUCAAGCACUCACUGUUUAAAUAUUUCUUGGUUUUACUUCUCCUCCUGGCCUACUUUGCCCCAAGCCCUUGGUUGCUUGAUAGCUAUUUCCUCCACCAGGCCUGCUGUUUUCUGUUCUGCUGGUAGGAGCUCAUGCCCUGCACCUGGGGAUGAGUGCUGUUGAAUAAAGACAAGAAUUAAAAGGGGGAAGCAAGGAAGGGAUAAUGCCAGGAUUCAGGUCAGAGAAAUUGUCCGAUAGUACAAGUUUACUUCAACAUUCUCUUUCCUGAGGCAUUCCUUUAAGCUGUGCCUGGAUACCCCCAGCCCCAUCCCUAUUCCUACACACACCUGCUGGCAUCUCAUUUUUUCAUGUGCCGCCCUGGUUCUCAACUGCCACUGAAAUGUCUUUCUUAGUGCCCAAAUAACAAAUUUACUGGUAGGAAAAACUAGUCACUGUUAACAGCAGUUAAAGUCAGAGGUCAAGGCCUUAAAGUGAAUCCUAACUAUGACUUCUGUAAUUAAUAUCCCUCAUAGGUUGACUUAACUCUUGAGUGAACCUGGAGUUCCCGUUGUGGCUCAGUGGUUAAUGAACCCGACUAGCAUCCAUGAGGAUGCAGGUUAAGGAUCGAUGUAGCCGUGAGCUGUGGUCACAGACAUGGCUGACAUCCCACACCGCUGUGGUUCUGGCGUGGGCCAGUGACUACAGCUCCAAUUGGAUCCCUAGCCUGAGAACCUCCAUAUGCCAUGGGUGUGGCCCUAAAAAGACAAAAAAAAAAAGUUCAGUGAACCUGAUUCCAGGGGAGGGAUUUUGAAACUAGGGGAGGGGAUAGGAAGCAUUGAGGGUUAUUUGUGAUGAGGAUUGCCAGAUUUAGUACAGAAAAAUGCAGGGUACCAGUUGAGUCUGAAUUUCACCUAAACAAAGAAUAAUUUUUUUAGUAUAAGGAUAUCCCAUGCAAUAUUUGUGAUAUACCAAAAAUUACUCUGGAGCUCCUGUCGUGGCUCAGCAGUAAUGAAUCCGACUAGUAUCCAUGAAGAUGUAGGUUCAGUCCCUGGCCUCACGAGGUAGAUUAAGGAUCCAGCAUCACCGAGAGCUGUGGUGUAGGUCAAAGACAUGGCUCAGAUCUGGCUUUGUUGUGGCUAUGGUGUAGGCCGGCGGCGGCUACAACUCUGAUUUGAUCCUCAGCUGAGAACCUCCAUGUACCACAGGUGUGGCCCUAAAAAGCCAAAAAACAAAAAAUUACUAUUGUUUGUCUGAAAUUCAAACUUAACUGUCUUGUGUUUUAUCUGGCAACCCUGUGACACACGGUAUCUCCCAAAUAUGCAGCCUGUGCAGUAGGAGGCUGGGAUUGCUGUGGAGAUUGGAAGAGUUUUCAAAUGUCUGGCAGACAGGAACCAGCCCAUUGGAGAGGGCAUUGUGUGGUACAGUCAGGUGAAAUUGCUGCCCCCAGGGCCAGGCUGGCUGAUGUGUGGGGGCAUCUGAGGUAGGUCUGAGCGGAAUACCCCUGGAGACUGGCCAAGGUGCUGGUGAAAAGGGAGUGUUCUGCUGGAUCCUUCUCAGAAGAUACAGUGUCUGGUUCCAGUGCUGACAACUGACCCCUCUGAUAUCCAUCAUACUAGAACAUUAUUUUUAGAUCUGGAGAAGGAGUGGCAAGGUUUUAAAAAUAAGGUACUAGGGGAGUUUCCUGGUGGUUCUGUGGGUUAAGGAUCUAACAUUGUCACUUCUGUGGCAUGGGUUUGAUCCCUGGACUGGAAAUUUCCACAUACCAUGGGCAGGGUUUAAAAAAAAAAGUUAUUAGAUAUAGGAGAUCCCAUUGCAGCUCAGUGGAUUAAGGACCCAGUGUUAUCUCUGUGGGGAUGUGGGUUUGAUCCCUGGCCUCGCUCAGUGGGUUAAGGAUCCAGCAUUGCCACGAGCUGCGGCAUAGGUGGCAGAUCCAGCUUAGAUGCAGUGAUGCAGGCUGAAGCUGCAGCUCCAACUUCACCCCUGGCCCAAGAACUGCCAUAUGCUGCAGGCAUGGCCAUUAAAAAAAAAAAAAAAAAA
rnacentral:lncRNA from 1 species